rnacentral:rRNA from 1 species
UACGGGGGGAGCAAGCGUUGUUCGGAUUUACUGGGCGUAAAGGGCGCGUAGGCGGUCAGCACAAGUCAGUUGUGAAAUCUCCGGGCUUAACUCGGAAAGGUCGACUGAUACUGUGCGACUAGAGUGCGGAAGGGGCAACUGGAAUUCUCGGUGUAGCGGUGAAAUGCGUAGAUAUCGAGAGGAACACCGGUGGCGAAGGCGGCGAUCUGGACGAUGACUGACGCUGAGACGCGAAAGCGUGGGGAGCAAACAGG